GUGGGGAAUCUUGCGCAAUGGGCGAAAGCCUGACGCAGCCAUGCCGCGUGAAUGAUGAAGGUCUUAGGAUUGUAAAAUUCUUUCACCGGGGACGAUAAUGACGGUACCCGGAGAAGAAGCCCCGGCUAACUUCGUGCCAGCAGCCGCGGUAAUACGAAGGGGGCUAGCGUUGCUCGGAAUUACUGGGCGUAAAGGGCGCGUAGGCGGAUAGUUUAGUCAGAGGUGAAAGCCCAGGGCUCAACCUUGGAAUUGCCUUUGAUACUGGCUAUCUUGAGUAUGGAAGAGGUAUGUGGAACUCCGAGUGUAGAGGUGAAAUUCGUAGAUAUUCGGAAGAACACCAGUGGCGAAGGCGACUCACUGGCCCGUUACUGACGCUGAGGCGCGAAAGCGUGGGGAGCAAACAGGAUUAGAAACCCGGGUAGUCC
rnacentral:rRNA from 1 species